rnacentral:rRNA from 1 species
UACGGAGGGUGCAAGCGUUAAUCGGAAUUACUGGGCGUAAAGCGCGCGUAGGCGGCUGGAUAAGUCGAUUGUGAAAGCCUUGGGCUCAACCUGAGAAUUGCAGUCGAGACUGUUCGGCUAGAGUGUGGGAGAGGGUGGUGGAAUUCCCGGUGUAGCGGUGAAAUGCGUAGAUAUCGAGAGGAACACCUGCGGCGAAGGCGGGUAGCUGGGCCGACACGUGACGCUGAUGCGCGAAAGCCAGGGGAGCGAACGGG